UCCGAUCUCUUCUGAAGUGCCAUGCCAAGCGGUUCCGCUGGCAACGGGUAGGUGUUUGGCGGAUCCGCCCCGCCAAACAGGCGGCAUCUCGUUUUGAUUGCCUUAGAUUUCUUAAAAUCCUUACCUCUUUUUCGCUGAAACGUUUUUGGUUGAAUUGCUGCUUAAUCGUUGAAUUUGGUGUUAGGCGCUCAAAAGAGAAUGACAAAACUCUUCUCUCCCCUCCGUGAUCUGGGCGCAUCAUGUACUGUUUUGAGAUUCUUGAUCGGGUGAAGAAGAUCCAUAGCAAACAGGUUUGUUUAAUACAUAGCAUGGUUAUGUGUCUAUGUUCGUCUCUCUCGAUAAUCAGCACAUUUCUCUCUCAAAUGUUCUUACUCUCUUGGUGCAUCUGAUUCCAUGUAUGUUGGCAAAGUUUCUCUUAUAUUUUCAUUUAUUUGUGGAUGCUUUUAAUAUGCAAUGUCUCUGCCUCCUGAUCUGUAAUACUAUCAAGUGUUGCUUAUGUUCUUUCGUUUUUUUCUUUUUUAAUGUGUUUCCAUCAUCCAUGAUA